CUGAGGAAUUCCGUUUUAAAGAUGCUCUGAAGAACACUGUCAUACUCUUCCUCAUGAACGACGAAGAAGUCAUCCUGCAGAGAGCUGAGAGACAGACAGAGACAGACAUAGACAGACAGAGACAGACAGAGACAGACAGAGACAGACAGGUGAGAGACAGACAGAGACAGACAGAGACAGACAGGUGAGAGACAGACAGAGACAGACAGGUGAGAGACAGACAGAGACUUGUUCUGGAUCUACUUUUAGAUCUAAUCCAGGGUUACAUUCUUAUCCCGCUUCUGUUCUCAC